ACCCUACCUCGAUCUCUCGUUAUCAAAUCAUAAGCCAUCUUUUCUCUACUUAAUUAACAAAACCCUACGUCUUGAAGAAGGUGCAGCAUGCCGAGUCCUUCACGCGACACUAAUACUCAGCCUAAUGCUAAGGGAGUCUUUUCCACUAGCAGGCCCCCUCCUCAGACUCAAAGCCCCAAUAUCAGGCGUCCCACAACAAUCCCUAAAACCAAGGGUGUCUUUUCCCGCAGUCGUUGACGGUGAUCAGAUCGUGAAGCAUGUGAAAUGGCUUGAUCAAGAAUAAUGGAAGCAAAUUAUAUAUUACAAGGCAAUUACACACACGCACAGUCGCACGCACAUAUGUUCUGUCCUCAUAUAUGCUAUCAACAAUUAUUUAUUUUUUUCUUUUUGGUUUGUUUGUUUUGCCUCUAGGCUUGAUUUGUUGUUCUUGUUUGCUUCCACAAAUACAGCGUUAGUUAUAUAUUCUUUUCAAAGUAGCUUUCAUUUGUGACCUUUCUGUUUGAUGUCUCGUGUCAUCUUGGCAAUAAUAAUAGAAAGUCAAGUGACUGUUCUGAAUAGUCUAACCUUCGUACAUUUCUGCA